rnacentral:sRNA from 1 species
AUUCCCUUUCCGGGCCGGAUGGCCGAUAAUACUGCCCCGGUCUGCAACCGGGAAUCCAGGAGAGUCCAUGUAC